GCUGGGAUAGCCAAGCCUGGUUACGGCGCAGGAUUGCUAAUCCUGUGGGCGAAAGCCCGCGAGGGUUCAAAGCGACCCUUUUCUUUUGGAAAGAAAAGCGUCGACGGAAAAGAAAAUAUUAUGGAAAGGGUCGGGAAAUUCCCUCUCCCAGCG
rnacentral:tRNA from 1 species